rnacentral:SRP_RNA from 1 species
GCUGGGCACGGUAGCACGCACCUGUAGUCCCAGCUACUCGGGAGGCUGAGGCUGGAGGAUCGCUUGAGCUCAGGAGUUCUGGGCUGCAGUGCGCUAUGCCGAUCGGGUGUCUGCACUAAGUUCAGCAUCAAUAUGGUGACCUCCCGGGAGCGGGGGACCACCACGUUGCCUAAGGAGGGGUGAACCGGCCCAGGUUGGAAACGGAGCAGGUCAAAACUCCCGUGCUGAUUAGUAGUGGGAUCGCACCUGUGAAUAGCCACUGUACUCCAGCCUGGGCAACAUAGUGAGACCCCGUCUCUU